AAGUCGUAACAAGGUUUCCGUAGGUGAACCUGCGGAAGGAUCAUUAACACGUUUCGUUCCGAACGUUUUCUGACCAUCCCAUUUUCCGUGCACAAAAAAUACACCCGACCUCCUGACCUUUCGCUUCACAGUGAUCGUGCCAGGCGCCUUCAGGGAUCAUAGGCAGUUUUUGCGAAAAAUGUUGUUGUUCUGAAAAAUUCACUUCUAGUACGAACAACUUUUUUCUUGCAGAAGCACACCUCCUGUCGGCGUUGCCAAACAACCCAACCCUUAAAUCUAAUUGCUCUGAACUCUUAGUUGUGCUUGAUAUCUUCACUGAUUUCAAGAACAGCGAAUAAAAACAAACAACAACUCUUAACAACGGAUAUCUUGGUUCUC
rnacentral:misc_RNA from 1 species